CUGGACAAGUGGUCUGUAAUGCAGCUUGGCGCAAAAUAAAGUCUGAACAAAACUAGACUGUGAGACUAGCACGUCCUAGAGUGGAAUUGACUGAGGUUAACGCAGAGUCUGUAAAGACUCUACAGACUCGGAUCAUUUGCAAGCAAACUAAAAUUCCCUUUUUUAAAAAAGAAAAAAAAUCAUUAAUUGGGUUCCGAUCUAAAAUACUGCUCUUAAAAUGCGCUCACAUGUUGAAGACUGAGAUUGCAAGUUCUCGAGUAAACAUCUGGUGAAGACAUUCCAGGAACACAUCUGAAAGGAAGAAAGGAGCUCCCAAGUGCUGGAGGUUUGGCUCAGACCUCCAGGCCUGUGCAUGUGGCUUGCUGUCAAACCUGCCAUGUUGACGGAACACCUGCUUUUAUAUCUUCACUCAUUUGAUGCACAUGUAUGGAGCCAAGAGAACACUUAUCAUGUGCCAGGUACUGUGUUAGAUGCUGAGGAUACAGAGACCCACAAGAAUCAGUCCCUUUCAAAAAAGAACUCAUGAUCCACUGGGAGGAAACAAAUCAGCAAUUACAGCACAAUGGAUGGAGUGGCAUGACAGUUGUGAACACGCAGCACUAUUGGAGCAGAGAGGAGGACGAUCUUAAAUCAGAU
rnacentral:lncRNA from 10 species